rnacentral:rRNA from 1 species
AUCCAGACUCCUACGGGAGGCAGCAGUGGGGAAUAUUGCACAGUGGGGGGAACCCUGAUGCGGCAACGCCGCGUGGGUGAAGAAGUAUUUCGGUAUGUAAAGCCCUAUCAGCAGGGAAGAAGAUGACGGUACCUGACUAAGAAGCCCCGGCUAAAUACGUGCCAGCAGCCGCGGUAAUACGUAUGGGGCAAGCGUUAUCCGGAUUUACUGGGUGUAAAGGGAGCGCAGGCGGCGCGGCAAGUCAGAUGUGAAAGCCCGGGGCUCAACCCCGGGACUGCAUUUGAAACUGCCGUGCUGGAGUGUCGGAGAGGCAAGUGGAAUUCCUAGUGUAGCGGUGAAAUGCGUAGAUAUUAGGAGGAACACCAGUGGCGAAGGCGGCUUGCUGGACGAUAACUGACGCUGAGGCUCGAAAGCGUGGGGAGCAAACAGGAUUAGAUACCCGAGUAA